AGCAGCCGCGGUAAUUCCAGCUCCAAUAGCGUAUAUUAAAGUUGUUGCAGUUAAAAAGCUCGUAGUUGAAUUUCGGGAUCAGUACGCUGGUCGUGCCUUUGGUAUGUACUGGUGUCACUGAUUCCUCCCUUCUGAAGAACCGUUAUGCCAUUUAUUUGGUGUGGCGGGGAAUCAGGACUGUUACUUUGAAAAAAUUAGAGUGUUUAAAGCAGGCUCGCGCUUGAAUACAUUAGCAUGGAAUAAUGAAAUAGGACGUUUGAUCUUAUUUUGUUGGUUUCUAGGAUCGACGUAAUGAUUAAUAGGGAUAGUUGGGGGCAUUAGUAUUCAAUUGUCAGAGGUGAAAUUCUUGGAUUUAUUGAAGACUAACUACUGCGAAAGCAUUUGCCAAGGAUGUUUUCAUUAAUUAAGAACGAAAGUUAGGGGAUCGAAGACGAUCAGAUACCGUCGUAG
rnacentral:rRNA from 1 species